rnacentral:rRNA from 1 species
UACGUAGGGGGGCUAGCGUUGUCCGGAAUCAUUGGGCGUAAAGAGCGUGUAGGCGGUCCGGUAAGUCCGCUGUGAAAGUCGGGGGGCUCAACCCUCGAAUGCCGGUGGAUACUGUCGGGCUAGAGUGCGGAAGAGGCGAGUGGAAUUCCUGGUGUAGCGGUGAAAUGACGCAGAUAUCAGGAGGAACACCUAUUGCGAAGGCAGCUCGCUGGGACGUAACUGACGCUGAGACGCGAAAGCGUGGGGAGCAAACAGG